UUGAUUUUGGUUUUUGAUUUUGUUUAUUUACAUAUGUCAUAAACUAUUAUACACGUGUACAUUUAUUUGUUGGUCAAAUAUUUUUAUGAUAUAAAAAGUGAUAAUAAGUGAGAGGUGCCCUUUUGUAAUCCAUCUGCUUGUCAUCAUGUAUAUUUUCAAUUAGUCAAGCUUGCCUUAACUGAUUUCCAUAAUUAAUUGUUAUGCAGUGUUAUACAUAGUUAACAUGGUUACAUUAAUAGUACUUUUAAAAGGAAAGUCACUGUUGAUUAUUUUGAAAUUUAAACAAAAAUUGUGGUGAAACAAUUUUUUUGGUUAAAAAUUACAAAUAUUUAACAUGUUUUAAAAGCAUCUUUUAGUAUGAAUAGAAGUUCAAUAAAAAAAAAGAUGCAAUUUGUUUCUUUUCUCUCACUAUAAGCUACACCCAGAGUUCUUGUUGAUAUGUCAAUUUUCUUGUUCUUAGAUUAUAGAUAUAGGCAGAUGUGGUGUGAGUGCCAAUGAGACAACUCUCAAUCCAAAUAACAAUUUUAAAAAAAGUAAACCAUUAUAGGUCAAUGUACGGCCUUUUCCCUAUGUAUGCUUUUUCCCUAAUGUUGUUUGUUUUUUUCCAGCUCUUUAUUGGUUGACAUUGUUGAUAUUCAAUUAUGAAGCUCCCUAAUGUCAAUUUUUUUACUGCACUCAAGUUUUGUUAUUGUGUGUUUUACUGUUGAUUAUUAUAAGAGAUCUAGAACAGCUUUCUCAAGUUCAUAGAGGUUACAAUAUCAGAUGGGAAAGAAUUUUACAAAAUUUAAUAAUUACAAAUUAAUCUGUAUUUAAAAACAAUUUGCUUGUAAUCUUUUUUUAUUUAGGGUUCUCUAUAUAAUUAUCUGAAAUCAUAUAGUCUUUGUAUGCUCCUUGUAUAUAUGUGUUGCUUUAAGGACCUAUACAUACUGCAGAUUUUAUUUCUAUAUGACAUAAUUUUUUCAGUAAUUCUUAAACUUACAUGUACCUAUUUGUCUUUUGAAGUGUUAAAAUGACCUCCCAAUCUACCUCUAAGGAUAAUUAUGUAUUCAUCUUCUUUCAUCAUGUUCAUACAAAAAUAGGGAAAAAGAGUAAAAUAAAAAUAUCUAUUGUUCCAAGUAAAAGAUAUUGAUACAUGUAUACAUUACCAAUCAG
rnacentral:lncRNA from 1 species